rnacentral:rRNA from 1 species
UACGGGGGGGGCAAGCGUUGUUCGGAAUUACUGGGCGUAAAGGGCUCGUAGGUGGCCAACUAAGUCAGACGUGAAAUCCCUCGGCUUAACCGGGGAACUGCGUCUGAUACUGGAUGGCUAGAAUUUGGGAGAGGGAUGCGGAAUUCCAGGUGUAGCGGUGAAAUGCGUAGAUAUCUGGAGGAACACCGGUGGCGAAGGCGGCAUCCUGGACCAACACUGACGCUGAGGAGCGAAAGCCAGGGGAGCAAACGAG